rnacentral:rRNA from 1 species
GGCUGCAACUCGCCUACAUGAAGUCGGAAUUGCUAGUAAUCGCGGAUCAGCAUNCCGCGGUGAAUACGUUCCCGGGCCUUGUACACACCGCCCGUCACACCAUGGGAGUCGGUAACACCCGAAGCCUGUAGUCUAACCGCAAGGAGGACGCAGUCGAAGGUGGGAUUGAUGACUGGGGUGAAGUCGUAACAAGGUAUC